rnacentral:lncRNA from 1 species
GAUGAAGAAGAAGGAGGAGAAGAAGAAGAAGGAGGAGGAGAAGGAGAAGGAGGAGAAAAAGAAGAAGGAGAAGAUGAUCACUUAUCUUAUUUUGAGCUUAUUAUGUUAUUUUGGAGGAAGGUACGCUAAGUUAUGAGCUAACCAAGGUUCUUGUGCUAUUUUUGACCUAACUAAGCUAAGUAUGUCAUAAAUGAACUAAAUAAGCUAAGUAUGUUAUUUUGGAGGAUAAUAAGCUAAGUAUGUCAUUUUGGAGAAUAAAACUGGAAGAAGAAGAAGGAGAAGAACAAGACUAGAAGAAGAAGAAGAAGAAGGAGAAGAACAAGGAGAAGAAAAAGAAUAAGAAGGAGAAGAACAAGGAGAAGAAGAAGGAGAAGGAGAAGAAGGAGAAGAAGGAGGAAAAGAGGAAGAAGAAGGAGGAAAGAAGAAGAAGAAGACGACGACAAAGAAGAAGACGAUUACUUAUCUUAUUUUGAGCUUAUUAUGCCAUUUUGGAGGAAGAUACGCUAAGUAAUGAGCUAACAAGGUUCUUGUGCUAUUUUGGACCUAACUAAGCUAAUUAUGUCAUAAAUGAACUAAAUAAGGUAACUAUGUCAUUUUGGAGGAUAAUUAGUUAAGUAUAUCAUUUUGGAGAAUAAAACUCGAAGAAGAAGAAGGAGAAGAACAAGACUAGAAGGAGAAGAAGAAUGAGAAGAAGAAGAAGGAGGAGGAGAAGAAGGAGAAGGAGGAGAAAAAGAAGAAG